UACGUAGGGCGCAAGCGUUGUCCGGAAUUAUUGGGCGUAAAGAGCUCGUAGGCGGCCUGUUGCGUCCGCUGUGAAAUCCCGGGGCUCAACCCUCGGAUGCCGGUGGAUACUGUCGGGCUAGAGUACGGAAGAGGCGAGUGGAAUUCCUGGUGUAGCGGUGAAAUGCGCAGAUAUCAGGAGGAACACCAAUGGCGAAGGCAGCUCGCUGGGACGGUACUGACGCUGAGACGCGAAAGCGUGGGGAGCAAACAGG
rnacentral:rRNA from 1 species